rnacentral:rRNA from 1 species
UACAGAGGUCUCAAGCGUUGUUCGGAUUCAUUGGGCGUAAAGGGCGCGCAGGCGGCUCUGAAAGUCAGAUGUGAAAGCCCCGGGCUUAACCUGGGAACUGCAUUUGAUACUCUGGAGCUUGAGUACGGGAGAGGAGAGUGGAAUUCCCAGUGUAGAGGUGAAAUUCGUAGAUAUUGGGAAGAACACCGGUGGCGAAGGCGGCUAUCUGGACCGACAUUGACGCUGAUGCGCGAAAGCGUGGGGAGCAAACAGG